GCGGGAUUGGUCUAGUGGUUAUGACCUCAGUUUUCCAAACUGAUGAGAAGGGUCCGAUUCCCUUAUCCCGCUCCA
rnacentral:tRNA from 1 species